CCUGAUGCAGCGACGCCGCGUGAGGGAUGACGGCCUUCGGGUUGUAAACCUCUUUCAGCAGGGAAGAAGCGAAAGUGACGGUACCUGCAGAAGAAGCGCCGGCUAACUACGUGCCAGCAGCCGCGGUAAUACGUAGGGCGCAAGCGUUGUCCGGAAUUAUUGGGCGUAAAGAGCUCGUAGGCGGCUUGUCACGUCGGAUGUGAAAGCCCGAGGCUUAACCUCGGGUCUGCAUUCGAUACGGGCUAGCUAGAGUGUGGUAGGGGAGAUCGGAAUUCCUGGUGUAGCGGUGAAAUGCGCAGAUAUCAGGAGGAACACCGGUGGCGAAGGCGGAUCUCUGGGCCAUUACUGACGCUGAGGAGCGAAAGCGUGGGGAGCGAACAGGAUUAGAUACCCUGGUAGUCCACGCCGUAAACGUUGGGAACUAGGUGUUGGCGACAUUCCACGUCGUCGGUGCCGCAGCUAACGCAUUAAGUUCCCCGCCUGGGGAGUACGGCCGCAAGGCUAAAACUCAAAGGAAUUGACGGGGGCCCGCACAAGCGGCGGAGCAUGUGGCUUAAUUCGACGCAACGCGAAGAACCUUACCAAGGCUUGACAUAUACCGGAAAGCAUUAGAGAUAGUGCCCCCCUUGUGGUCGGU
rnacentral:rRNA from 1 species